rnacentral:rRNA from 1 species
GACGAACGCUGGCGGCGUGCUUAACACAUGCAAGUCGAGCGGUAAGGCCCUUUCGGGGGUACACGAGCGGCGAACGGGUGAGUAACACGUGGGUGACCUGCCCUCAGCUCUGGGAUAAGCCCGGGAAACUGGGUCUAAUACCGGAUAUGACUCCAUGACGCAUGUUGUGGGGUGGGAAGCCUUGUGCGGCUGAGGAUGGGCCCGCGGCCUAUCAGCUUGUUGGUGGGGUGAUGGCCUACCAAGGCGACGACGGGUAGCCGGCCUGAGAGGGCGACCGGCCACACUGGGACUGAGACACGGCCCAGACUCCUACGGGAGGCAGCAGUGGGGAAUCUUGCGCAAUGGGCGAAAGCCUGACGCAGCGACGCCGCGUGAGGGAUGACGGCCUGGUGUAAC